UGCAUAUAUAUCAAUACAAGUACCAAUUGCGUAGGGGUCUGACAUGUCGAACUGCAGUAAAGCUUUACAAAACUCAAAGACGGUUCUCCAACAACCCCGGCUUUGUAGACUUUGUAAAUAUCUCCAAAUACAGAGGAAAAGACGCCGAUUAGAAGGGAUGGCAAAAGGAAGCCGCGUGGCACCAGUUGCAAGAUUAAAUCUAGGAUGAAGAAUACUGUCGAAAGCAUAAAGACCGCGGGCAACAAGCUCUGCUGACAGUUCAUGAUCGCCCUGCUGAUCUAUUAUUUCAGAAACUUGUAAUAACGUGUCUAUAUGAAAAGGAUGGGAGCGUAAAAGCAUAAGUAGGUUAUUAGGGUCAUAGGUUUGCACGUAAUACUCGAAUGUCUCUUGAACUUCCUGGUAAGCACGACUCUGAGUGAUUUCAAAAAAGCACUCUAAGUCUUGUGACUGACCGGUAAGUUUCAUUCCAAGUCCAGAUCUUACUAAAGGAGGCCAUCCUUCUUGAGGCUGUACUAAAACAUGGCGUUUCCUCCGCAGGUUAUCAUGUCGAGCGUUGACCGAACGUUUCUCAACGAUGCGGCCAAAAAUCUUACGUAUUUCAAGAUCAGGAUUUAACAUACUAAUAUUUACACCCAAUAACUUAUUCAAUUUUUCAUCAAGUUCUUUAUCUAACGGGAUAGUAGCAGAUUCUUCGACACCAGCAACAUGCUCAACCUGAUCUUGCUCACGAUAUUUAAGUUUUAAUUCAGCAGCAGCCUUUUCUAUUUCAUCAAUAUCAUCAUCAAUGUUUUUGCUUGAUUCAAGUCCCUCCAAUUUCUCAUUAUCAGAAGAUUGAUUAUCUAAAUCACGCUUUCCAGUGACUUUCUUCUUCUUCUGCUGCUUUUUCUUUUUCUUUUUAUUUUUUGCUUUCUUAUUUGUAGAGACAAUUGGAGACUCGCCUUCUACUAAUGGUUCAUCCUGCUCUUCCUCAGAAACACUUUUUUCUGCCUCUGAGUUAAUAGCAUUAUUUUCUUUUUCGAGAAUUUCGAACACGUUUACUACUUUUUUCCCGGAAGUUGAAGAAAACUCGUCAUCCUCAUCAGAUUCACUGUCUAAAGCUUCUUCCAAUAGCUCGGUUUGUCUUUGACGCUGAAGUUUCCGUAAAGCUCGUGAAGACAUGAGAAUGGUUUGUGGUAGACUAGAAUGGCAGAUGUAAGAAUUUAACUCAGACCUAUGAAAACACACCUCAAUUUCAAGAACUUUUCGGUAUGCUAAAUUAAUAUAUAACAUACAGAAAAUAUUUCAUUUUAAGACUGUU